rnacentral:rRNA from 1 species
UCGGAGGGGGCUAGCGUUGUCCGGAAUCAUUGGGCGUAAAGCGCACGUAGGCGGUUCGUUAUGUCGGAUGUGAAAGCCCUUGGCUUAACCGAGGAAGUGCAUCCGAAACUGGCGAGCUAGAGUACUAAAGAGGAUCGCGGAAUUCACGGUGUAGCAGUGAAAUGCGUAGAUAUCGUGAGGAACACCAGAGGCGAAGGCGGUUUCCUGGACAGUUACUGACGCUCAGGCACGAAAGCAUGGGGAGCAAAAGGG